rnacentral:rRNA from 1 species
AGUCACUGACAUUAGAUACCCCCGUAGUCCAGGGUGUAAACGCUGCAGACUUGGUGUUGGGAACCCUUCGGGGGUGCUCAGUGCCGGAGAGAAGUUGUUAAGUCUGCUACUUGGGGAGUACGUCCGCAAGGAUGAAACUUAAAGGAAUUGGCGGGGGAGCACCGCAACGGGAGGAGCGUGCGGUUUAAUUGGAUUCAACACCGUAAACUCACCAGGGAAGACUGUUACAUGAAGGCCGAGAUGAAGACUCUGCUAGAUUUUCAG